AGGCAGCAGUGAGGAAUUUUGGACAAUGGGCGCAAGCCUGAUCCAGCCAUGCCGCGUGAGUGAAGAAGGCCUUCGGGUUGUAAAGCUCUUUCGCAAGGGAAGAAAACGUGUGGGCUAAUAUCCUGCGCGGAUGACGGUACCUUGACAAGAAGCACCGGCUAACUACGUGCCAGCAGCCGCGGUAAUACGUAGGGUGCGAGCGUUAAUCGGAAUUACUGGGCGUAAAGCGUGCGCAGGCGGUUGUGUAAGACAGGUGUGAAAUCCCCGGGCUUAACCUGGGAACUGCGCUUGUGACUGCACGGCUAGAGUACGGCAGAGGGGGGUGGAAUUCCUGGUGUAGCAGUGAAAUGCGUAGAUAUCAGGAGGAACACCGAUGGCGAAGGCAGCCCCCUGGGCCUGUACUGACGCUCAUGCACGAAAGCGUGGGGAGCAAACAGGAUUAGAUACCCCGGUAG
rnacentral:rRNA from 1 species